rnacentral:lncRNA from 1 species
AGGCUGCAGGAUGCUCCGGCCUUGCUAGUGGCCGUGCAGCUGGGCAUCGUGACGGGCACACUGGUGGCCCAUGGGCCGCGUGGGGGGAGGGGGAGGCUGCCGGGAGUUGCCUUUUGUCACCCAACCUCCUCCAGGUCCGCCGCGGAUGGAAAGGCCGUUGGAGCUGAUGAAAGGCGAGGGGGCAGUCGGGGUCUUGCCUGCCCCCUCUCCCCUGGCAGGGCGCUGGUCCUUGGGGCCCCUCCCGUCCUCAGGCACCUUGCGCCCCUUCUUUUCUUCCAUCUCUUGUCCUCUCUGUUUCAGACGACAGCAGAACGGGGGCGGGAAGUCCUGCUGCUCUGCAGGGGCAGGAUGAAGAGGGCCACCUCCCUCAACAUGCUGCACGUCGGUGAGCGAGCGGCUGCGCUUUCUGCGUCCCCCGCGCAGCCCGCCUGGAACCCGGCCAGCGCCCGCACACUGAGCUCCAGCACGCAGGACCUCACGCACAGCCGCUCCACCUAGGAGCUCCCUGGCCCCGCCCGGCCCUGCGAGACCGGCGCCCGACCUUGUCUGCUUCAGCUCAGCCAGCGCCAGCCUUCGCCGUGGCUCCCAGGGCUCCCGGAACAGGACUGGCUGCUCCCCGGGGCCCAGCGGAGCCCCCGGCCUGGCACCUCCGCGGAGCUAUCGGCACCCUGGCGCCUGAGGGCUGCCGCCUGCCCGGAGCAAACCCUGCGGCCCGCCGGAGGUGCGACCAGGAUGCGAAGCGCCCAGCGCCAAGGAGAAGCGACUGCGGCUGCCCAGGACGCUGGAGAGCGGCCCGCGGCCCUUGCAGGAACAGCAAGUCGGUCGGUGCUGCCGCCGCUGCCUUAAGCCAUUUGCCAGGUAACCUGCACUUUUCUGUCCCCGUCCUGGCAGAAGAAGCGCUGCUGCCCCUGCAGCCAGGAGCCUAUUUAUUCUAUUUAUGCAACCGGGAGCUGAACCCUCCCUCCACCCCAAUAAAUGGAUGUAAUUUGAUGCUGACUCGCUUGGAUCCUUGUGAGCAAAUGCAGAGGUGAUUCAGGCUUAAAAACCCUGCAGGGUGAUGGAAAGAGAAAAUCAAUUUCUUUUUGGGUUCACGUUAACGCGGCCGCAGACCGAACAGAGCCGACACGCUCAUCCUUCGCGAC